UGUCCCUGAGGCAUUGUUCACAAGUCUUUACCAAAACACCUUAUUUGUUAUAAUGUCAGACUUCAUUUGGGGGAUAAUUUCUCAAAUAUGACAAGCAGCUAAGUGGGAAAACAUUAUUCUAUCAUGUUUAUUUCUUAUAAUAAAAAAAGAUUAACCAGUAAUGAAGGUGGAAGUCGUGAUUGAGAACAACGUGUAGGCCUAAGCAGCCUGAUAGAUGAAGAGUUUGAGCGAAAAUACAAAUCUAAAGUUUGAUCAACUCACUUCCAUAUCUUGUGCUUGAUCCUCCUCAUCGCUAGAAAAAUCCGCAGCGUGUUUCUGAUCGAUGUGUUUUAAAUGCAACCCCACAUAAACCUCCUUUUUGCUCUUUGCAGGUGGCAGCGCGACAUUGUGGGAAACUAAAUCUGACUUCAAUCUCGAUUUAGACAGAUGAGCAGGGUCCUCCUGAAACAGCGGCAUGUCAAGGAAUAGUUAUAAAAAAUGGUUAAACUGCACUGCUUGGUAAUUAUGUUUUAAAAGUCGUGCUUGAAGUCUGCACGGAGAGUUUCCCUGUGGACUGAAAACACGCUGCCUGACUGACUGGACUGAGAACAGCUGCAACCCUCCACUUGAUUGACAGCGAGCCACGUUAGCCAGCUUAAAUGUUACAUACCAUCUUAUGCUGCAGAGUAAACAUGAGAGCACCUUAAACUAACAAUGUGUUUAGCUUGCUUUGAAGCUCUGGAAAUUAAUUUCAAACGAGUUAUUUUUUUUUAUCUAAUGAUGAUAAACAUUAAAAUGGGAUAAAAAGAAAAGACAUUUUGGCCUUUGGUGUGGCCCAGGCUUUGGUCGUCUUUGGUGGUGUGGAGUGUCUUGCAUAUGCUGCUGCUGCAUUUUUACAGGGGUCUUUCAUCCACUUGGCACAUGCAGAAUUGGAACACAAGUCAAGAAUGAAAACAAAGCGGUUGCUGGU